rnacentral:rRNA from 1 species
UACCAGCACCCCGAGUGGUCGGGACGAUUAUUGGGCCUAAAGCAUCCGUAGCCGGUUCUACAAGUCUUCCGUUAAAUCCACCUGCUUAACAGAUGGGCUGCGGAGGAUACUAUGGAGCUAGGAGGCGGGAGAGGCAAGCGGUACUUAGUGGGGUAGGGGUAAAAUCCGUUGAUCCAUUGAAGACCACCAGUGGCGAAGGCGGCUUGCCAGAACGCACUCGACGGUGAGGGAUGAAAGCUGG